AAUUGGAAUGUCUUAAGAGAUCUCCAUAGCAACCAUGCUGUGCCAGUAAAUAUGAGUGCACCAGAACAACACUGUAAUUGCUCUGAAUAUACUAACAAACAAUGAUGGAAAAAACAGGCAAUACUAAAAAAAAACUUGUAAAUGUUUAUACAUCUAUCCUAUUAUAAAAACACUGCUUGUAAACGUUCUGCGUGCUAACGAUGCAAGAGGAAAAAGCACAGCACCAACAUGAGACUUUCACAAUCUAUGGACAGAAGGCUCAGACAGCGCACAGGCAACCAGGACUUCAAAUGUUCUUUGAAUUGAUUCCAUGAUUCCCAACCCUUUUUCUACCUCAGUGACCCUCACAUUCUUCUCAAAAACAUAUUUAGAAUGAAACUGUGAUCAUAUUGUGAAAGCUGCCUCAUUUUUUCGCCCAACAACUUUGUUAGUUCUUUCUCCUGGAAGAUUUAAGACUUUCUGCCACCUUCAUGGAGCACAUUUUCGACAACCAUUUUCAUCUUACACUUCAUUGCAAGACUAAUGGGUGCUUUCAGAAUUACAAAGAAAAGCAAACCUUCUAGGCAAGAAGUAAGCAAUGCUUGUAAGUUUGUUCAGUACCAUUCAGAACUCUGGGGAACAAUAAACCCUCAUUAAAAUUAUAUUAUGGGCUUACUCCUGCUCUCAAGAAAUCAGCUAUACAUAUGCAUGUAUGACUCCAGCUCAUAAACACAGAGAGAUUCAAAAAAGGCUAUCAGCCUGUCAUGCCAGAAUUUCAACUCACAGGGGGCCUGAUCUGACUCUUAUUUAAGAUAAUGGGAGUUUUGCUAUUGUCUUUAAAUGGAGCAGGAUCAGAUCCCAUAUGUGUAAGAUCUGCCAGCAUAAUUAUAGAGGUUUUUCUUUUUGCAGAGUGAAAUAGACAUUGCUAUAAGUGUUACAAAUCAGGGCUUCACUCCUGCACUCUUUACUCAGCCAAAACAUCCAUGGAUUUUCUACUGGGAGUUUUACUUGAACAUGGUGUUCAGGGUUGGGUUCCAACCACUAUUUUAAUUGCUUUAUUGAUGCUUUUAGGAAAACAAUUCAAUGGCUUACCUGGAAUAAGAUUAUCCAUGCCCUGAAUGGUUGUUGGAGGGGAGAGGGAGAUUGUUUUUGUUUUUUCUUUCAUUUUGAUUUGGAACAUGGCAUUCUUCGCUCUUUGUACUUCUACCCCGGAAGUAGUGGUGUGCCAUGGCAGUGCCAUCUUUCAAAUCAGAUCAUUGUCCUGAUGACUAUGGUUAUUAAAGAUAAAAAUGUGCCAUGAGAUAAAAGUAGGAGGGACUGAGUUUAGAAGAGUUACUCCGGAUUGACACUAAUGCAGCUGAGAGCAGAAUUUGGCCCAUUAACCUUGCCAUAUUCCAGCUUGAUAAUUAUGUUUUGCUUAUAAAACUUCCUGCUACAGUUUCAAAUGGCAAAACAAUAUUCUGUGCUUCCUGCCCUAAACUAACAUUUGAGAGAACUACUUGGAGACUAGAGAUGUGAUUUAUUUAUUUUAUUUAUUUAUUUAUUAAAGCUCCAUUGAGAGAUAUUGGAUUUAGACAGCAAUUGAGAGGGACAGAGUAGAAAAAUGUCAGAUUUUGCUACAGUAA